rnacentral:rRNA from 1 species
GGUAUCCUACGGGGGGCAGCAGUAGGGAAUUUUCGGCAAUGGGGGGAACCCUGACCGAGCAACGCCGCGUGAAGGAAGAAGGAAUUCGUUCUGUAAACUUAGGUAAGAAAGGAAGAAAGACGGAUGGAGGAAAUGACAUCCGAGUGACGGUACUUUAUGAGAAAGCCACGGCUAACUACGUGCCAGCAGCCGCGGUAAUACGUAGGUGGCGAGCGUUAUCCGGAAUGAUUGGGCGUAA